AGCGUACACGGUGGAUGCCCUGGCAGUCAGAGGCGAUGAAGGGCGUGCUAAUCUGCGAUAAGCGCCGGUAAGGUGAUAUGAACCGUUAUAACCGGCGAUACCCGAAUGGGGAAACCCAGUGUGACUCGUCACACUAUCAUUAACUGAAUCCAUAGGUUAAUGAGGCGAACCGGGGGAACUGAAACAUCUAAGUACCCCGAGGAAAAGAAAUCAACCGAGAUUCCCCCAGUAGCGGCGAGCGAACGGGGAGGAGCCCAGAGCCUGAAUCAGCAUGUGUGUUAGUGGAAGCGUCUGGAAAGGCGCGCGAUACAGGGUGACAGCCCCGUACACAAAAGCGCAUGUGCUGUGAGCUCGAUGAGUAGGGCGGGACACGUGGUAUCCUGUCUGAAUAUGGGGGGACCAUCCUCCAAGGCUAAAUACUCCUGACUGACCGAUAGUGAACCAGUACCGUGAGGGAAAGGCGAAAAGAACCCCGGCGAGGGGAGUGAAACAGAACCUGAAACCGUGUACGUACAAGCAGUGGGAGCCCCACCACUAAGCCAGUGGUGAGUUCCAUGAUGCAUCCUUUGCUGAAGGUGCGGUUGGCGGAGCGUUUUUUGCGACGCCCAACACACAAAACAAGCAGAGGGGGCUUAGUGGUGGGGUGACUGCGUACCUUUUGUAUAAUGGGUCAGCGACUUAUAUUCUGUAGCAAGGUUAACCGAAUAGGGGAGCCGGAGGGAAACCGAGUCUUAAUUGGGCGUUAAGUUGCAGGGUAUAGACCCGAAACCCGGUGAUCUAGCCAUGGGCAGGUUGAAGGUUGGGUAACACUAACUGGAGGACCGAACCGACUAAUGUUGAAAAAUUAGCGGAUGACCUGUGGCUGGGGGUGAAAGGCCAAUCAAACCGGGAGAUAGCUGGUUCUCCCCGAAAGCUAUUUAGGUAGCGCCUCGUGAAUUCAUCUCCGGGGGUAGAGCACUGUUUCGGCUAGGGGGCCAUCCCGGCUUACCAACCCGAUGCAAACUGCGAAUACCGGAGAAUGUUAUCACGGGAGACACACGGCGGGUGCUAACGUCCGUCGUGAAGAGGGAAACAACCCAGACCGCCAGCUAAGGUCCCAAAGUCAUGGUUAAGUGGGAAACGAUGUGGGAAGGCCCAGACAGCCAGGAUGUUGGCUUAGAAGCAGCCAUCAUUUAAAGAAAGCGUAAUAGCUCACUGGUCGAGUCGGCCUGCGCGGAAGAUGUAACGGGGCUAAACCAUGCACCGAAGCUGCGGCAGCGACACUCAGGUGUUGUUGGGUAGGGGAGCGUUCUGUAAGCCUGUGAAGGUGGCCUGUGAGGGAUGCUGGAGGUAUCAGAAGUGCGAAUGCUGACAUAAGUAACGAUAAAGCGGGUGAAAAGCCCGCUCGCCGGAAGACCAAGGGUUCCUGUCCAACGUUAAUCGGGGCAGGGUGAGUCGACCCCUAAGGCGAGGCCGAAAGGCGUAGUCGAUGGGAAACGGGUUAAUAUUCCCGUACUUGGUGUUACUGCGAAGGGGGGACGGAGAAGGCUAUGUUGGCCGGGCGACGGUUGUCCCGGUUUAAGCGUGUAGGUGUGUGUUCCAGGUAAAUCCGGUUCACUUUAACACUGAGGCGUGACGACGAGGCACUACGGUGCUGAAGCAACAAAUGCCCUGCUUCCAGGAAAAGCCUCUAAGCAUCAGGUAACAUCAAAUCGUACCCCAAACCGACACAGGUGGUCAGGUAGAGAAUACCAAGGCGCUUGAGAGAACUCGGGUGAAGGAACUAGGCAAAAUGGUGCCGUAACUUCGGGAGAAGGCACGCUGACACGUAGGUGAAGUGAUUUACUCAUGGAGCUGAAGUCAGUCGAAGAUACCAGCUGGCUGCAACUGUUUAUUAAAAACACAGCACUGUGCAAACACGAAAGUGGACGUAUACGGUGUGACGCCUGCCCGGUGCCGGAAGGUUAAUUGAUGGGGUCAGCGCAAGCGAAGCUCCUGAUCGAAGCCCCGGUAAACGGCGGCCGUAACUAUAACGGUCCUAAGGUAGCGAAAUUCCUUGUCGGGUAAGUUCCGACCUGCACGAAUGGCGUAAUGAUGGCCAGGCUGUCUCCACCCGAGACUCAGUGAAAUUGAACUCGCUGUGAAGAUGCAGUGUACCCGCGGCAAGACGGAAAGACCCCGUGAACCUUUACUAUAGCUUGACACUGAACAUUGAGCCUUGAUGUGUAGGAUAGGUGGGAGGCUUUGAAGUGUGGACGCCAGUCUGCAUGGAGCCGACCUUGAAAUACCACCCUUUAAUGUUUGAUGUUCUAACGUGGACCCGUGAUCCGGGUUGCGGACAGUGUCUGGUGGGUAGUUUGACUGGGGCGGUCUCCUCCUAAAGAGUAACGGAGGAGCACGAAGGUUGGCUAAUCCUGGUCGGACAUCAGGAGGUUAGUGCAAUGGCAUAAGCCAGCUUGACUGCGAGCGUGACGGCGCGAGCAGGUGCGAAAGCAGGUCAUAGUGAUCCGGUGGUUCUGAAUGGAAGGGCCAUCGCUCAACGGAUAAAAGGUACUCCGGGGAUAACAGGCUGAUACCGCCCAAGAGUUCAUAUCGACGGCGGUGUUUGGCACCUCGAUGUCGGCUCAUCACAUCCUGGGGCUGAAGUAGGUCCCAAGGGUAUGGCUGUUCGCCAUUUAAAGUGGUACGCGAGCUGGGUUUAGAACGUCGUGAGACAGUUCGGUCCCUAUCUGCCGUGGGCGCUGGAGAACUGAGGGGGGCUGCUCCUAGUACGAGAGGACCGGAGUGGACGCAUCACUGGUGUUCGGGUUGUCAUGCCAAUGGCACUGCCCGGUAGCUAAAUGCGGAAGAGAUAAGUGCUGAAAGCAUCUAAGCACGAAACUUGCCCCGAGAUGAGUUCU
rnacentral:rRNA from 1 species